rnacentral:rRNA from 1 species
AGGUGCUGCAUGGCUGUCGUCAGCUCGUGUCGUGAGAUGUUGGGUUAAGUCCCGCAACGAGCGCAACCCUCAUUUUUAGUUGCCAUCAGGUUAUGCUGGGCACUCUAAUAAAACUGCCAGUGAUAAGCUGGAGGAAGGCGGGGAUGACGUCAAGUCCUCAUGGCCCUUACGGUCUGGGCUACACACGUGCUACAAUGGUGGUGACAGUGGGAAGCAAUUUCGCAAGAAAAAGCAAAUCUCCAAAAGCCAUCUCAGUUCGGAUUGGACUCUGCAACUCGAGUCCAUGAAGUUGGAAUCGCUAGUAAUCGUAGAUCAGCAUGCUACGGUGAAUACGUUCUCGGGCCUUGUACACACCGCCCGUCACG